rnacentral:rRNA from 1 species
AGCCUGCCCAGUGACUAUAUGUUCAACGGCCGCGGUAUUCUGACCGUGCAAAGGUAGCGUAAUCACUUGUCUUUUAAAUAAAGACUGGUAUGAACGGCACCACGAAGGUUCAACUGUCUCCUGCAUCCAAUCCAUUAAACUGACCUCCCCGUGCAGAGGCGGGGAUAUAACCAUAAGACGAGAAGACCCUAUGGAGCUUUAAACUAAAGGCAACUGCCAAACCAUCCAACCCACAAGGAUAAACAAUAAAACAAGCAGAAAUUGACCUAAAGUUUUCGGUUGGGGCGACCAUGGAGAAUAAAAAAUCCUCCUUGAAGAAUAGGGCUUACAACCCUUAACCAAGAACCACUAUUCUAAGUAACAAAAUUUAUGACUGCAAUUGAUCCAGUCCUACUGAUCAACGAACCAAGUUACCCUAGGGAUAACAGCGCAAUCCAUUUCAAAAGUUCCUAUCGACAAAUGGGUUUACGACCUCGAUGUUGGAUCAGGGCAUCCCAGUGGUGCAGCCGCUACUAAAGGUUCGUUUGUUCAACGAUUAAAGCCCU